CUGGAACUGUUUGUCCACUGCACGGCAAUUUUCAUAUGGAUUGGAGCAUCACCUGAUCGUGCUGUUCUUAUAUUAAGUGUAAAACCAAAUCAUACUGUUUUUAAAGUAGAAAUAAGCCACCAGACCCUGAAAGAUGCGGUCCCGUAGGAGCAAGCAAGAUGUUUUCCAUGAAAAUAAGCAAGACAAGGAAGAGAAACCCAUCCGAGCGUGAAUCAAAUUCAAGCAGGGAAAUGCUGACUUUCCCCUUAACAAGAAAGCAUCAGUUCCACAUUCCCUCAGUUUAACGGCACAGUCUACAAAAAGAAGAGGAAAAAAAAAAAAAAAAGA